rnacentral:lncRNA from 1 species
UUUGUUUACAAAUUUCAUUUGCUUAAAGGGAGAAGAUAUCCAUCAAACUUCUUAUCACAGAUAAGAUUUUCUAGACCCUUUCUCAUAUUCAUAUUAUUCUAUUGAAACCUCUUAAUCAUAUGGUUUAGCUUUGUUUGAGUAUGUGUGACUAGUUCUCUCGUUGUCUUUAAGGGUUUUCGAAAAGGGGAUUCAUGGAUCUUAUACUAAGGUGAUUAGUUUCGGGUCUGUUCGUUUACUAUUUUCCAUCUAAAUAUAUCUUUGCUGCUUACUGCUUGAUUGACGACCUAGCUACUGCUUUUAGGAUAUAUUUAAAUCGCGUGAAGUAAUUUAGAAGAGCAAAGCGUCAUAACCAACCGAAAAUUGAGUUAUAGAGUUUUGUUUGUGAGCAUAUCAUAGUUGGAUUGCUUAUGUAUGUUUAGCUCCUACUUACCUGCAUAAAUAUUUCAUUUUACCUAAGCCAUAUUUCUUCUUAAUAAAACUUGUCGCGUAGCGUAUUAGUCUCUGUGGGAUCGAUACCUUAAAAACUACAAUCAACUUGCUAUGCACUGGCAGCUUUUUCGUUGUGUUAUUCAAGGUUUUAAACCUGACACACAUCAGAAUUCUGGUGUAAAACUGUUUAAUAAGUUAUGUCUUGUUUUAUUACAGUUUUCUCAAAUUGGAAAAAAUGGUUUUUGAAGAAUGAUGCAAAUCAAAGGAUCCAGAAUGCAAAGCCGCAUAGAGGAAGCUUUAAGAGUAAAUGCGAUGGAUGCAGAGAAAUAUGAGGAAAAGAAGAUAAUAGAGAAUUCAUUGAAAAAUCAACCUCCAUGCUUCCCUUACAAUGCUUAUGUCUUGCUUGCUUAAACAACAAAUCUCAGUGAGUUUUUAUAUAUAGUUUUGUUUAAUAGUUUAUAUUAAAUAAAGCGUAACCUCCCAC